UUAAGUUCAGCGGGUAGUCCUACCUGAUUUGAGGUCAGAUCGAAUGAAUGGUGUCCCCAAAGGGACGGUUUAUGAGGCGGAGCUCGAGACCACGGAAUCAGCGACGACUUAUCACGCUGAUCACUGGGUCAAGAACCGACCACCUGUCACAUUUAAGGCGAGCCGCUUGUUACCACGGCAGACACCCAAGUCCAAGUCCG
rnacentral:misc_RNA from 1 species